rnacentral:rRNA from 1 species
UACGAAGGGGGCUAGCGUUGUUCGGAAUCACUGGGCGUAAAGCGCACGUAGGCGGAUCUUUAAGUCAGGGGUGAAAUCCCGAGGCUCAACCUCGGAACUGCCUUUGAUACUGCGGGUCUCGAGUCCGGGAGAGGGAUGUGGAAUUCCAGGUGUAGCGGUGAAAUGCGUAGAUAUCUGGAGGAACACCCGUGGCGAAGGCGGCUCUCUGGGACGGUACUGACGCUGAGACGCGAAAGCGUGGGGAGCGAACAGG